UACGAAGGGGGCUAGCGUUGCUCGGAAUCACUGGGCGUAAAGGGUGCGUAGGCGGGUCUUUAAGUCAGGGGUGAAAUCCUGGAGCUCAACUCCAGAACUGCCUUUGAUACUGAAGAUCUUGAGUUCGGGAGAGGUGAGUGGAACUGUGAGUGUAGAGGUGAAAUUCGUAGAUAUUCGCAAGAACACCAGUGGCGAAGGCGGCUCACUGGCCCGAUACUGACGCUGAGGCACGAAAGCGUGGGGAGCGAUCCGG
rnacentral:rRNA from 1 species